rnacentral:misc_RNA from 1 species
AAAGAUUCUAAAUUAUUGAUAGCAAAGACAAAAUGAUCAAAAUCCGGAAUAAUAAGAUCCAAAAUCUGACAUAAUAAAAUUAUAGCAGGUAACAUGUCUCUAGAAACAAAGACAACAAAAGACUCAAACUCCAACAAAGAAACAGUCUCAGGGUGAUACCAACACUAAAUGCAAAGCAACCCAAGAAUCAGGCCUUCAGCCUUCCAUAAAACUUCUGCUUCUCCUCAGUAGUCUGGAAUCGCCCAUGCCCAAACUUAGAAGACGUAUCAAUGAACUUCAGUUUGAUCUCCUCAAGGGCCAGCCGGGAAGUCUGCUUGAGAAGAGACUGACGAAGGGUAACCACCCUCUUCUUGGGUCCAACACAGCAACCCUUUAUCAGAAUGUAGUCAUCCUUCACAACACCAUAGUGAGGGAAACCACCAAUGGGGGUUAUGUCCUUCUCAGUCCUGUCAAAUUCAGUGAGAGCCUUGUGCGACUCCUCUCCUGCCUUUCCAAGCUUGUACACUUUCUUGUUCAUCUCAGUACGGUGGUGAUAACCAUUCUGACCAGCACGGGCAACAGUGUAUGAAACCCUGGCAGGAUGCCAUGCUCCAAUACAAGCAACCUUGCGCAGACCCCUGUGGGUCUUGCGGGGAAGACGGGUAACACCCCAA